rnacentral:rRNA from 1 species
UACGAAGGGAGCUAGCGUUGUUCGGAAUCACUGGGCGUAAAGCGCACGUAGGCGGAUGUGUCAGUCAGGGGUGAAAUCCCGGAGCUCAACUUCGGAACUGCUUUUGAUACAGCACGUCUUGAGUCCGAUAGAGGUGGGUGGAAUUCCUAGUGUAGAGGUGAAAUUCGUAGAUAUUAGGAAGAACACCGGUGGCGAAGGCGGCCCACUGGAUCGGUACUGACGCUGAGGUGCGAAAGCGUGGGGAGCAAACAGG